rnacentral:rRNA from 1 species
UAGAGUUUGAUCAUGGCUCAGAACGAACGCUGGCGGCAGGCCUAACACAUGCAAGUCGAACGAGAAGCUUCUUCGGAAGUGGACAGUGGCAGACGGGUGAGUAACGCGUGGGGAUCUGCCCAGAGGUUCGGGACAACCAUUGGAAACGAUGGCUAAUACCGGAUAAGCCCGCAAGGGGAAAGAUUUAUCGCCUUUGGAUGAACCCGCGUAAGAUUAGCUAGUUGGUGAGGUAAUGGCUCACCAAGGCGACGAUCUUUAGCUGGUCUGAGAGGAUGAUCAGCCACAUUGGGACUGAGACACGGCCCAGACUCCUACGGGAGGCAGCAGUGGGGAAUAUUGCGCAAUGGGGGAAACCCUGACGCAGCCAUGCCGCGUGAGUGACGAAGGCCUUAGGGUUGUAAAGCUCUUUCGCUAGGGAAGAUAAUGACGGUACCUAGUAAAGAAGCCCCGGCUAACUCCGUGCCAGCAGCCGCGGUAAUACGGAGGGGGCUAGCGUUGUUCGGAAUCACUGGGCGUAAAGCGCGCGUAGGCGGACUGAUUAGUUGGGGGUGAAAGCCCGGAGCUCAACUCCGGAACUGCCUUCAAUACUGUCAGUCUUGA